rnacentral:rRNA from 1 species
ACGGAAGGCAGCAGUGAGGAAUGUUGGUCAAUGGUCGGAAGACUGAACCAGCCAAGUCGCGUGCAGGAAGACGGUCCUAUGGAUUGUAAACUUCUUUUGUACGGGAAUAAAGUGCGGGACGUGUCCCGUUUGGAAUGUACCGUCAGCAUACGGGUCGGCUAACUCCGUGCCAGCAGCCGCGGUAAUACGGAGGACCCGAGCGUUAUCCGGAUUUAUUGGGUUUAAAGGGUGCGCAGGCGGAGGAUUAAGUCAGCGGUGAAAUUCUCAUGCUCAACAUGAGAACUGCCAUUGAUACUGGUCCCCUUGAGAGAUGGCGAGGAUGGCGGAAUGUGAUGUGUAGCGGUGAAAUGCUUAGAUAUGUCACAGAACACCGAUUGCGAAGGCAGCUGUCCAGAGAUCAUCUGACGCUCAGGCACGAAAGCAUGGGUAUCAAACAGGAUUAGAUACCCUGGUA